AAAAAAAAAAAAAAGAGAUAUAGCGGGAGUCUAGGUUUUGCUAGUGUAAGAUGGACAUGCGAUGUUUGUUUUGGGCGCAGUCUAAUAAUUUAUUAAAGCUAUUUAUGAGAAAAGGUUAAAUUUGUGCCAGCAGCUGCGGUUAGACUUGAUUUUCUAUUAAAAGAGAAGUAGGCAAAUUAUUUUAUGGUGAGGGUGGGGUGCUAUGGUGAAAUAGAUUUAAAAGCAGGUAUUUAGUAAAGAUUAGAUUUUAUCGGACAAGGAUUAGAUACCCUUUUACGAGUGAGUUUAGUCUAAUGAGUAUUUAUAUAAGUUAUAUGGCUUGGCGGCUAAUUUUUUUAGAGGAGUUUGCACAUAACCGAAGCUACCCGGUAGCUCUUAUCUCUUUUAUUUAUGUACACCGUCAUUUAUUUAAUUCGAAGCAGAAAAAUUAAUAAAGUGGGUCAAAUAAAUUAGAUCGAGGUGCAGAGUGAAGAAGAAAUAUGUUAACUACAAUAUUGAAUUAUAAACUGGUUGAGGGGUAGUUAUCACUAAAGGGUGGAUUUAAUAGUAAUUAUUUUUGUUUGAUGUGAGCAGUUAGUGUACAAAUUGCCCGUCAAUCUCUUUGAGAUAAGUCGAAACAAAGUAGAAGUACU
rnacentral:rRNA from 1 species